rnacentral:lncRNA from 1 species
GCUGCAUGUGAAUGUCUGCAGAGGUCAGAAGAAGGCAUCGGAUCAUCUGCAGCUGCAGUUGUAGAGCUGGGGACCAAAACCCAGGGCCUUGCGCUUGCUGGACAAGCACUCUACCACUGAGCUAAAUCCCCAACCCCGAUGAAGGAAACUCUUAUAAGGACAACAUUUAAUUGGGGCUGGCUCACAGGUUCAGAGGUUCAAUCUGUUAUCACCAAGGUGGGAACAUGGCAGUGUCCAAGCAGGCCUGGUGCAGGAGGAGCUGAGAGUUCUACAUCUUCAUCUGAAGGCUGCUAGCAGAAUACUGGUUUCCAGGCAGCUAAGAGGAGGGUCUUAAGCCCACACUCACAGUGACACACCCACUCCAACAAGGCCACACCUUCUAAUCGUGCUACUUCCUGGGCCAUGGAUACACAGACCAUCACAAAACAAAGUUAAUGGCCUAUAGAUAUAACUCUUCAGCUCACUCCCCUGUCACAUUGGUAAAGAAAAGGAGAUAUUUACCAAGACCAAGGGACAAUUGACUAAGACAUUGAGAUUAGACCACACUGUACUGGUUAGCCUUAACUGUCAACUUGGCAUAGCUAAGGUUCACCUGAGAAGAGGAUCCUAAUUGAGAGAUUGCCCAAAUCAGAUUAGCCAAUGGACAUGUAUGUGGGGGCUCUUGGUUGUUAGUUGACAGAGGCAGGUGCAGCCCAAUAUGGGUGACCUCA